rnacentral:rRNA from 1 species
UAGGGAAUCUUCCACAAUGGACGCAAGUCUGAUGGAGCAACGCCGCGUGAGUGAAGAAGGUUUUCGGACCGUAAAGCUCUGUUGUUGGUGAAGAAGGAUAGAGGUAGUAACUGGCCUUUAUUUGACGGUAAUCAACCAGAAAGUCACGGCUAACUACGUGCCAGCAGCCGCGGUAAUACGUAGGUGGCAAGCGUUGUCCGGAUUUAUUGGGCGUAAAGCGAGCGCAGGCGGAAGAAUAAGUCUGAUGUGAAAGCCCUCGGCUUAACCGAGGAAUUGCAUCGGAAACUGUUUUUCUUGAGUGCAGAAGAGGAGAGUAGAACUCCAUGUGUAGCGGUGGAAUGCGUAGAUAUAUGGAAGAAUACCAGUGGCGAAGGCGGCUCUCUGGUCUGCAACUGACGCUGAGGCUCGAAAGCAUGGGUAGCGAACAGGAUUAGAUACCCUGGUAGUCCAUGCCGUAAACGAUGAGUGCUAAGUG